AAAAGUUGUUACUGUCAACUUUAACCACUUAAGCCAAACUAGAUGAAAAUCACUGCAUAAUAUUAUCCAUCUGCCAGUUAACUACUCCAGUACUUUGAGAUUACAACAACUAGAGCUUCAUAGUAGAAUGCAAUUUACAUGCACUAUAUUAUACCUGCAAAAAAACAAAAAAAAUCUUCAAUAUCCACAACAUCCAAGCUAGUUCUGAUAGAUACAUGGAUCAACAAGUCACUCCAAUACUAAAUAGAAUCAAAACAACAAUAAUAAAAGUAUAGAUACACGCAC
rnacentral:lncRNA from 1 species